UACGUAGGGGGCAAGCGUUGUUCGGAAUUACUGGGCGUAAAGGGCGCGUAGGCGGCAUGGCAAGUCAGGAGUGAAAGGCCUGGGCUCAACCGAGGAACUGCUUUUGAUACUGCCAAGCUAGAGUGCGGAAGGGGCAACUGGAAUUCCCAGUGUAGCGGUGAAAUGCGUAGAUAUUGGGAAGAACACCGGAGGCGAAGGCGGGUGGCUGGGCCGACACUGACGCUGAGGCUCGAAAGCGUGGGGAGCAAACAGG
rnacentral:rRNA from 1 species